UUGGUGCAUCUAUCUUCUUCUUCCCCCUUCCUCUCUUAGCUUCUCUCCCACCACUAAGGAGAAACGUUCCAAAGAUCCCUCUCUCAGAAAAAUCUCCAAGAAAACGAAACCCUAAUGGAGAAUCAUUCUGAUCCCUGAAACUUUUGGCUUGCGGCUGAAUCGAUUUCAAGAUUGCAAGUAUUGCCUAGUGUGAAUAUGCUGUUGCUGUGUGAUGCUUUGGUUAAGGAAGUGACUGUUGAAUGCUGAAAGGACGACUUGGAACCUUAUCUCGGGUUGCAUUACUCGGCAAACUUCGAUAUUUCUUUAUAUGAGAAACAAGGUUACGAUGAUUUCAAGAACUGUGCUAAUCUUUGCCCAAGAUUUACAUGUAAAUGGUACUGAUUGAGUGUUAAAAGGAAGAAGCUUCAUACAUACAAUAUACAUUGAUCGGAUAUAGUUUUAGAGUAGGUUCCGAGUUCCAAAACAAAGUGAACUAUACUGAGUAUUUCAACAUAGAAAAGUUAUAAAAUUGACAUCCUUUGCAAAGUAAAAGCCAUAUCAUAACAAAAAAAUCGGAACAUUUAACCGAAAACAGAGACAACCCACAAAAGAAGAAGAAGAAUGCUAAAAUUGAGAAGCACUGAUGGAGUUGGUCGAAGGGGACCAAACGGAAGGGAAUAUAUCUUCUAUAGACUGCUUACGAGUUAUGAAUUGAGUUGCGUCAACGUGUGAUUCUGAUCCGGCUGAAGGAAAGGCCGCUUCAUGUGAAUACGCACAUGGUUCCUUGUACGCCUCUCUUUCCGAAACGUUGGCUGCAACUUCGUAUGAUUGUAUUUGUAGCGGGCCUAGCGGCAUUAGUUUCAGAUGGCUGAUGAUUUUCUUGAAAUUUUUUGGUGGAAGCGAAUUAGAGAUAACAUACUUCGGAGGAUAUGCAUUUUAAUAACAUAUUUAUAAGUUUUGAGUAUCGCAUAUUACGAAAAC